UGGUAGAUUCUCUUAUUGGAUGGUUCCAGGAAAUGACUAAUGAACUGGUUUAAAUGUUAUUUUAUUUAAAAUUACAUAAGAAUAGAUCUUAACUACUUAGGAGAUCUAGCCAGCAUUGAAAAGGUUAUUCUAACUGUUAGCAAGGGUUUUAUGGCCCUUCGCUGUGAAAUGUUUCACUUUAAGUCUGUGUCAAGGAUACCUCAUAAAUCGUCAAAAGUCUUGACAGGAAAUGCUAUUUAGCCAUUGAAAUCUGU